GCUUAGUGUCUCUCUCUCUUUCUUUCUCUCUUCUUCCUCUCUUUCUCUCUCACACACACACCUCUAUCUAUGUCUAUCUCUUUCUCUGUCUCUAUCAACAGUCUCAGCAGACCCCCAGCAUCAACUGCCAGACGUCUAGUGCAGUAGAGUUAAAACGCAAGUAAGCCUAUGGAAUCCAAAUAAAUGAGAUGGAGUUUGGGGCACAAUGAGAAGAAAGAGUCAGAGGAAUCCGUACACAUGAGGUCCUAGAGCAUACAAGGCAUGCCUGGGGGCACACAGAGAGGUCAUAGGGAGAGCCAGAGUGAGCAAACCUGGGGUUCUGCUUUUUUGGGG
rnacentral:lncRNA from 1 species